UUCUUCCACAACAGGACACCUCACAUACACUCAUUGCCCCAUAGCACAACAAAUUCACACUCCCACACAAUUAGCAAGAGAUAAUACUCUCACGGGAAAAUUCACUGAGGGGCUCAUGGAUAUUAACACUCAUCCUCACUAGUGAAGGAGAUAGAGAGGAAACACUCCAUCUUUCUCAUUUUUCUUUUCUGGAUAACGUGGACACACUCAUGAAAUUCAUCACCAUAGUACGUAUCCCCAAACAUAUAUCUCACAAGUAGUUGCUUGCACUGAGAUGGAUCGAUACUCACCGAAAAGAACACCGCCGUCGACGCAUAGUACACACACACCCGCCCAAAAACGUACACGCAUAGUAAGGAGAAAAGGGUUUUCAAAAUGGACUGAAAAUGAUAGGGAUCAGUCAAACAGUGAAAUCUCACCGGAAAACACUCCCUGUCACCAGAAUCCGACCCUCUUUCAUCAAUUUUGCCGCCGUCUGGGCUCUGGAGUUCCGGCCAUACGUCUUUUUCUGGUAAAAUUUGGAUAUUUGUUGGUUCACUGCUCUUGGCAGAUUUUUGUUCGUGUAAUGUCUGUUCUGCGCGAUUUUAUCUUGAGGUCAUUGGAAGACGGUAAAAGGGAUGCAUGCCGGAGCCGGGGUUUGAUUUGAUGUUCCAAAUCGAGGUUCUUCGGCAUGCGGAUUCGUCCUCUCAAUUGACUGAUAUUCGGAGUAAAAUCAUCAUUGAGGUACAAGUUAUAACGCAUACACCAUAUUCAGUCAGUUUGCAGCUUCCAAUCAGCAGGUGAUAAGUCCUUUUGAUUCAAGGUCUCGAGUUAGUUAUACAGUUUGAGAAGUAUCAUAUUUUCUUUAUCCAGUCGUAUUGAGUUGGGAUAGUUGGAAGUCAUGACCCGGCUACCUAUAGUCAGUACUAGUAGAGGCUUCAUAGACAAUCAGUAGUAUUGAUAUAUUUAAUUUCCAUUUUGUUUGUAUUGUAAUCUUAUAAAAUCAGAUUUGUAUUGAUCUAGUUCAGAACAAUUUUUAUGUUUUC